rnacentral:rRNA from 1 species
CCUACGGGAGGCAGCAGUAAGGAAUAUUGGUCAAUGGAGGCAACUCUGAACCAGCCAUGCCGCGUGCAGGAAGACUGCCCUAUGGGUUGUAAACUGCUUUUAUCCGGGAAUAAACCUACUUACGUGUAAGUAGCUGAAUGUACCGGAAGAAUAAGGAUCGGCUAACUCCGUGCCAGCAGCCGCGGUAAUACGGAGGAUCCAAGCGUUAUCCGGAUUUAUUGGGUUUAAAGGGUGCGUAGGCGGCCUGUUAAGUCAGGGGUGAAAGACGGUAGCUCAACUAUCGCAGUGCCCUUGAUACUGAUGGGCUUGAAUGGACUAGAGGUAGGCGGAAUGGGACAAGUAGCGGUGAAAUGCAUAGAUAUGUCUCAGAACACCGAUUGCGAAGGCAGCUUACUAUGGUCUUAUUGACGCUGAGGCACGAAAGCGUGGGGAUCAAACAGGAUUAGAUACCCUGGUAGUCCACGCCCUAAACGAUGAACACUCGCUGUUGGCGAUACACAGUCAGCGGCGUAGACGAAAGACGUUAAGUUAGUUCCGUACCGUCGGGUAAGGUACGGUCCCGCCGACGGGUAGGUUAAACGUUAAACGUAAGUUAGUUAGUUAGGCGCGAGAGAGCGACGACGACGACGACGGAGGAGGAGG